UAAACACCGGUUGCCGUGCUAUCACAGAAGUUAAGCAACGUCGAGCCUAGUCAGUACCUAGAUGGUUGAGCGCUUGGGAAUAGUUGGCGCUGUAC